AUGACUCAGCCUCUUCUCCACAGAAAGGAGCACAACGGCAGUUGGGCCGCUUUUUGGACACUACAGAGAGAUCGGGAGCCAAGGAGAAGGGCAGUUUUACGGCAGGAGUUGGAGUGUACGACCCAAGGGAGUCACCGAGGGAAUCGGGGGGAGUCACAUCUUUCUGGGGCAAACGCAGGACCGAUGGUCCUAGCCAGAUCAUCGGGGCGAGGAUUUAUUUUCCGAGACCCGGCCUGCAGAAUUGGAGCUGGAAGCCAGAAGUUGCGGACUCCCAAGGCUGGAAAAUCAGCACUGCCGCUCUCCGCCUUCACAGCCUGAGGAGAGAGCUGCUGCCCCAUCGCUGAGACGGGAAGAGCGAGGCCGCUCCGCUCCCAGAGUCACCACAGCUCUCCGAGAGGGGCUAGGGCAAGGAACGGAUCGGUGGACCGGCCUCUCUGAGACCCUCCCACCUUCCCUGCUGCUGCCGUUGAGCUCUUGCCGGGAGGAUCAGGGGUAACAGAGCCGACACUGGCUGGAUUCAGUCGCCGGAGCCAACGCCGGAAGUUGGACCCGCAGCGGUCAAGCUUAUCACGGUGCAGCCACGAGCAGCAGCCUCUCGUGGGAAUCGCCAUUUGAACUAGGCAGGAGUCUGUCCUGGAGCCGGGCCCCGGCUCCCCUGAAGCUAACAGUCCCAGGGUAAGGAGCGGAAUUGGGCCCGCCCUGAUUGUCUUGGAUCCACCUCAGUCCUUGGCCCACAGUUAAGUGCUUAAUAAAAUAUCACAUUUAUUUGCUAGGAAACGUGUCUUGCUUUGGUUGUACUCUCCCAAGUGCUAAGUACUCAAUAAGUGCUCAUUAAAUAC
rnacentral:lncRNA from 1 species